rnacentral:tRNA from 1 species
GGGCGUUUAGCUCAGUUGGCUAGAGCGCUUGCUCGACACGCAAGAGGUCACUGGUUCGAGUCCAGUAUCGCCCACCA